CAGAUAUGUGGGCUAUAUAUAAACAUGCAGAUUUUGUUUAUAUUGAUUUCAUGUUCGGAGCAUGAAGUGGUUUCUAAAUUUCGUAUCUGCAUUGACAGAAACAUCAAAAUUUUAACUUUGUACAUGUAUGGAUUGCCCAUAGAUUUGGAUAUUUUGAUUGAACUUCCUAACCCAAAAGAAGAUACGCUACAUUCUCUAUUAAGUAUGAAUAACUAUCUUAAAAGCGCUGUGUUUUGUUUUAGGGUGGGUAAAGCUAUUUAAUUAAGUACAACAUUUUUGGCAAUUUAGGGGAUAUAUGGAAAAUAUCCAGAUGUGUAGAGGGGUUGACUCUAUCGAAAAGCGGAAUCAUCCGAUUUUACAUUGGACAGGGAAAAAGAUGAGUAUGGAAACCAUAUCUCGUUCACCACAUUGUCAGAUAUUUAGUGAGUUAAAGUGCUCAUGACAUGAACUUUUACCUAAUGCAAACUUAGUAUGAAACAAUGCAUCUUAUUUUAAUAAGUAGUUUCUCCAACGUUUACAGGCGAGAAACUUUAUUUACGCGAUAAAUAUAACGUUUUUAAGUAAAACAAAUCGACUCCCCAGUUUGCGGCGUAAAAAU